rnacentral:rRNA from 1 species
UGGAUUAGUGGCGAACGGGUGUGUAACACGUGAGUAACCUGCCCUUAACUCUGGGAUAAGCCUGGGAAACUGGGUCUAAUACCGGAUAGGAGCGUCCACCGCAUGGUGGGUGUUGGAAAGAUUUAUCGGUUUUGGAUGGACUCGCGGCCUAUCAGCUUGUUGGUGAGGUAAUGGCUCACCAAGGCGACGACGGGUAGCCGGCCUGAGAGGGUGACCGGCCACACUGGGACUGAGACACGGCCCAG